UACGUAGGGUGCAAGCGUUAAUCGGAAUUACUGGGCGUAAAGCGUGCGCAGGCGGUUUUGUAAGUCUGUCGUGAAAUCCCCGGGCUUAACCUGGGAAUUGCGAUGGAGACUGCAAGGCUAGAAUCUGGCAGAGGGGGGUAGAAUUCCACGUGUAGCAGUGAAAUGCGUAGAGAUGUGAAGGAACACCGAUGGCGAAGGCAGCCCCCUGGGCUAACACUGACGCUCAUGCACGAAAGCGUGGGGAGCAAACAGG
rnacentral:rRNA from 1 species